rnacentral:rRNA from 1 species
GACGGAGGGUGCUAGCGUUGUUCGGAAUCACUGGGCGUAAAGGGCGCGUAGGCGGCCUUGCAAGUCGGUUGGUGAAAUCCCGGGGCUCAACCCCGGAACUGCCUUUAAAACUGCCGGUCUUGAGUUCGAGAGAGGUGAGUGGAAUUCCGAGUGUAGAGGUGAAAUUCGUAGAUAUUCGGAGGAACACCAGUGGCGAAGGCGGCUCACUGGCUCGAUACUGACGCUGAGGUGCGAAAGCGUGGGGAGCAAACAGG